ACAUGUACUUAGUGGGGUACGGUAAAUAGGUGAUUCUAAAUUGCCCAUGUGAAUGUGAGUGCAUAUGGUGUACCCUGUCUCUCACCCUGUGACCCUGAUAAGGAUAAACAGAAGAGAACGGAUGGGAUAUGAAAAAUAAAAUGAUAUGAAUGUAGUGUGUGAAUCUGUGGUGUGUAGGACCCAAACUGGAUAAUUAUCGAUUCGUUAAUGUGUACUUGUGUUUAAUAUUCCAGGUAGAAGUAAUUGUACUUUAUAUUCUGCUGGAUGGUCAUAUCUUUAAUAAUUCAUUAUAUUUUCAGGAUAUUGUUUUAUAAUGUGCUGAAAGUAGCACAGCAGGAAUAUUUAAAUAAAAUAAAAGUACUUUAAAUCUAUAUUUAAGUUGAAUUCAUGAGUAAUGUAAUGAUUCUGUGUGUACUUUAUAUCAGCGGCUUUGGUGAGGGGCGGUUGUGCCCUCAUCUGGAAACUCUCCUGACUUCCUCCAUUCUUUCUAACUCUUAUUUGUGUGCACUUCUAACCAGCUGUCAGCAUGUGUCUUGGGGGUUAUUUGGGUGACCAGCAGGUUUUCCUAUGCCUGGGGCUACUACACAGGAGAUCCCGCCAAGAGGAUGAACGGUGCUUACGGCUACAUUGGCUAUUUCGGAGUCAUCAUUCUCUCCAUAUCUGUUGCCCUGCAGCUGCUCGGCUUCCUCUAAGAUGACUGUCAUCUUGUGUUUGCCCAUCUUACUGAAGAAUCUGCUCGUGUAUAGUGAACAAUAUUGCAUCUUAACAAAAAUAUGCUAUAAACUGUCUAUAUACGACUUAAAACCUUUUUUAUGAACCACUAACCUGAUACUCUGAUAAUUCUGUGACUAUAUACUCCAUGUAAUCAAAAUUCUACAAUAGUCAUCAAUAAAGUAGAUGUUGUCUGAUGGUGCAGCCUUAAAUGGAUUCUGCGUGCACUCAGGUAGUACAGAUUAGGGUCACCGAGAGGGUCAGAGGCAGCAGGGCUAAAGAGCGUGUCAUGUGACUCACACAUGAGGUAUCAGGCGCAAAUCCCCCAUCUGUUCGAGCCCAUAGUCAGUGGCUUCUAGAUGAUCUACAUCCUGAGAAACAAGGCAAGAAAAUACUGUAGAAAUCUGUUUUCUUUCACAUCUGAUGCACAAAAUGUGAACUUCAUCCAGUUUUUAUCCACCCCUAGAUUAGAAUCAAACCAAACAUGCUACUGUGGAAAUAAAAUAAACUUCAGUCACUUCUGC